CAGACCUAGAAGUAGCAAUAUGGAGGCCAUUACCAAGGUGGGGAAAACUGGAGCAGCAAAGCUCUUGUGCCUGGUCUCAAGCUCUGGAAUUGCAGACUGUGGCAAGAAUGUCCAGAUAUUUGUAAUUCCCACCCAGAGUAGAAGCUAAGGAGCCAAACUCUUGGUCUCCGUUACUCUUUUCGGAUGGGGAAUGAGAGUCGGCUCCUCCCCUGGCACCUGUACUUCACCAACUGUUCCUAAUUAUGAGAGUAUUUGAUGGAACCUAGUUUGAUAAACAAACGAAAAGCCCUUGGUAAUUGUCACAGUGGUGAAAGCAUUUACAUCCAUAGGAAUGGAGAAGAAGUUUUGGAAAGCGCACUGAAACUCCAGCACUCACAACCCAGCUCCACCUUGGCCUGACACCCCGCCCUCCAUCCCACCUGGAUGCUCAUGGGCUUGGCUCCUGGCCAUCAUUGAUCUUACCUGGAAGCUAAUGGCAUGUGAACCCCGGGGCCCCCUUACGUGUCCAGACACCUUCCCGAGACUCUAAGAGGUGUCCUAGCAAUGUGUGCACUCAGACCGACCUUUAAAAACAUCUACACUCUAACU